rnacentral:rRNA from 1 species
GAUGAACGCUGGCGGCGUGCUUAACACAUGCAAGUCGAACGGGAAACCUUUUAUUGAAGCUUCGGCAGAUUUAGCUGGGUUCUAGUGGCGGACGGGUGAGUAACGCGUGGGUAACCUGCCUUAUACAGGGGGAUAACAGUCAGAAAUGGCUGCUAAUACCGCAUAAGCGCACAGAGCUGCAUGGCUCAGUGUGAAAAACUCCGGUGGUAUAAGAUGGACCCGCGUUGGAUUAGCUGGUUGGUGGGGUAACGGCCCACCAAGGCGACGAUCCAUAGCCGGCCUGAGAGGGUGAACGGCCACAUUGGGACUGAGACACGGCCCAGACUCCUACGGGAGGCAGCAGUGGGGAAUAUUGCACAAUGGGGGAAACCCUGAUGCAGCGACGCCGCGUGAAGGAAGAAGUAUCUCGGUAUGUAAACUUCUAUCAGCAGGGAAGAUAAUGACGGUACCUGACUAAGAAGCCCUGGCUAACUACGUG